CCUACUCAGUCAGUGGCCUUUCCCAUGGAGCUCUCUGUGAUGCAAUUGGAAAAGGUGGCUGGAUGAGACACCUAGCUGGGCCAAGUCACCAACACGCAAGCAUUAGUGCUGCUGGAGUGCCAAGUCAGGAGGGGGGCAAGCAGUCAGGGGGCAUGUGCUUUUCCCUCUAACGUCAGCCACCUGAGGGAGCUGCCGCAUGCCUGAGAAUGAGGAGGAAAAGUUCUAAUUUGGGCUAAAGUCAUUUCAGUCAUAUUUCUUUGGGGUUAACAUUUGCUCUUGUGUUGUUCCAGGGAUCUCUGGAGACUGGAAGAACCUCCUGACAGUGGCGCAGAGCGAACACUUUGACCAUGCUUAUCGGAAGAACAUGCGUGGUGUGAAUAUGACCUUCCCAUGGGACUGAAGAAUGCCAGAUUGUUGCUCCUGCUGUUCUCCACAUACUUAUGUUUCAGAUGGAUGGGUAUUUUCUUCUGAAUAAGCAGAUACCUGAUCAGGAAUGGUACAGUUGCUGUUAUUUGUUGUUUUUACUAAAUCACAAUGUGACUUUAGAGCUUGGGGUUCUCACUGCGUCAGCUGAGACUGAGACACCCCUUGUAGAUCACCUUCAUAGACCAGAUAAUGGCCUUCAAACUCUUCGCACUGCUCAAGAUAGGAUGUCCACCUAAGCUUCACAAGAUGAUUUUCUACUUCCAUGGAAACAUGCCCAGGUCCAUCCAAUAUGAAGGCUCAUCCUCAGAUGCCUUCCCUGUUUGUGUUCUUUUUUAAAAUGCAUGUACUACUGUUAGAAAAGUUCCUCUUUGAAUGCUAAAGAGCAGGGUAAACUGAAUAAAUUUAUAUAAUGGGUUAGAGAC